AUUGAACGCUGGCGGCAUGCCUUACACAUGCAAGUCGAACGGCAGCACGGGAGCAAUCCUGGUGGCGAGUGGCGAACGGGUGAGUAAUACAUCGGAACGUGCCCAAUCGUGGGGGAUAACGCAGCGAAAGCUGUGCUAAUACCGCAUACGAUCUACGGAUGAAAGCAGGGGAUCGCAAGACCUUGCGCGAAUGGAGCGGCCGAUGGCAGAUUAGGUAGUUGGUGAGGUAAAGGCUCACCAAGCCGUCGAUCUGUAGCUGGUCUGAGAGGACGACCAGCCACACUGGGACUGAGACACGGCCCAGACUCCUACGGGAGGCAGCAGUGGGGAAUCUUGGACAAUGGGCGAAAGCCUGAUCCAGCCAUGCCGCGUGCAGGAUGAAGGCCUUCGGGUUGUAAACUGCUUUUGUACGGAACGAAACGGCCUUUUCUAAUAAAGAGGGCUAAUGACGGUACCGUAAGGAUAAGCACCGGCUAACUACGUGCCAGCAGCCGCGGUAAUACGUAGGGUGCAAGCGUUAAUCGGAAUUACUGGGCGUAAAGCGUGCGCAGGCGGUUAUGUAAGACAGUUGUGAAGUCCCCGGGCUCAACCUGGGAACUGCAUCUGUGACUGCAUAGCUAGAGUACGGUAGAGGGGGAUGGAAUUCCGCGUGUAGCAGUGAAAUGCGUAGAUAUGCGGAGGAACACCGAUGGCGAAGGCAAUCCCCUGGACCUGUACUGACGCUCAUGCACGAAAGCGUGGGGAGCAAACAGG
rnacentral:rRNA from 1 species